AUUCAGAGGGUGCGAGCGUUAAUCGGAAUUACUGGGCGUAAAGCGCGCGUAGGCGGCUUAUUAAGUCAGAUGUGAAAUCCCCGGGCUCAACCUGGGAACUGCAUCUGAUACUGGUAAGCUAGAGUUUUGGAGAGGGAAGUAGAAUUUCAGGUGUAGCGGUGAAAUGCAUAGAGAUCUGAAGGAAUACCAGUGGCGAAGGCGACUUCCUGGCCAAAAACUGACGCUGAGGUGCGAAAGCGUGGGUAGCAAACGGGAUUAGAAACCCUAGUAGUCC
rnacentral:rRNA from 1 species